rnacentral:rRNA from 1 species
GACGUAGGGUCCAAGCGUUGUCCGGAUUUACUGGGCGUAAAGAGCGCGUAGGCGGCUCGUUAAGUGUGAAGUGAAAUCUCCAGGGCUCAACCCGGAAACUGCUUUACAUACUGGCGAGCUGGAGUGAUGCAGAGGUUUGUGGAAUUCCUGGUGUAACGGUGAAAUGUGUUGAUAUCAGGAGGAACACCCAUGGCGAAGGCAGCAAACUGGGCAUCAACUGACGCUGAGGAGCGAAAGCAUGGGGAGCGAACAGG